rnacentral:misc_RNA from 1 species
UCCUGCUAAAAGACCCGUCUUCGCUUCUCUCUACUUCCACAGCCAACUCCUUUUCAACCAGAAACCUAGCAUUCAAAGGUUGAUCAGCCGUCAUUGGCAACACAACUAGACAAUGUCCAAAUUGUAAGGUCUCUAUCACAGAACCUAACCCAGAAUGAAACAGUGAUCCCCCAAUUGAUGGGUGUGCCAGAAUUUCCAUCUGUGGUGCCCAUCCUAUGCCCACAAUUCCUGUCUUGCUCGUGCGCUGAACAAAACCUGAAGGUAAAGCAUCGAGAUCUUUGUUUGCCCAACUGGGUUUCCUGAGAGCCCAUAGAAAUGGCAAUCCUGAUAGCUCUAGCCCGUAAGCUAUCUCAUAAACCUGAUCUUUUGUCAGUUUGCACUCGCUGCCAAAUCCCACAAACACAACCGACUUAUGCUUCUGUUUGUCGAGCCAAUUGAAAAUGUUUCUCCAUGACUCAUCAAUGAAUUGUGUUUUUUCUGGUAUCAAUUGAGGGAGUAAACCUACUGGAAUCACUGGUUUUCCAAUCAGUUUCUCGUAAAGAUUUAUGUACUCACCUUCAUACUCACUGCAGGUACGGAAGGCCACUGCUUGACAACCCCGGGAGAACCCUGGCAAGCCGUUCAGCAUCUGAUUUUCCUGAAGCGUUAUUUUCAUAGAAACCUGCAUGUAAACCAACUGCCUCAUAAAUCUUGAAAGCUAUUGAAGACGGUAAGUUGGCCCAUUCUGGCGGUUUUGUCCAACUUUCAGGUGACGACCGAAGGACCGAAGCCUUUUUUGGCCAUCACCCACAAGAUAUUCCGUAGGCCCACAGAAAAGAAGUGUUACAACCGAGAAUACUGAGAAGGCCAUGAGCGAGACAUGAUGUUCUUGAGCAAUCUCCACCGCCCAAUAGGCAAUCAAAUCGGUUAUUAUCCAGUCCGGAGAUUGAGUGGACACAAACUGUCUUAAAGGCUGUUGCAGGAGAUCAUAUGCAACUUUCAAGUACUGAAUUUUGUCGAGGGGAAUAUCCACGGUAGCCUCUGCGCCUUCUGGCAGGACCUGUUCAUCGUGAUGUAAUAAGGUUGGAAAUGGAACUUCCACUAGGUGAAUAAGAGAUGUUAAAUUUUGAGGAAUCUUGGGCAGUCUUUGGAUGUUUCUUGGGGUUGAUAAGAAGGAGACUUUAGCUCCAGCUUUGGCUAAGGCUAUGGAGAGUUGAAACAUUGGUAUCAAAUGGCCAAAGGCAGACCAUGGAACCAUCACUACGUGAAGAUUUCCGGCCAUUUCCCCCUCUUUUCCCUAUAGCUUUAAGGUAUGCACUUAGCCUUCUCUUAAAAUGAUACCCAAUAAUAGACUAUUAUAUAUAAAGGAGACAUUAUAAA